rnacentral:rRNA from 1 species
AUGAACGCUAGCGACAGGCCUAACACAUGCAAGUCAGGGGCAGCACAAGGAGCAAUCUGAGGUGGCGACCGGCGCACGGGUGAGUAACACGUAUGCAACCUGACCUGUAAGCGAGGAAUAACCCGUUGAAAGACGGACUAAUACCGCAUAAUACUAAAUUACUGCAUGGUAAUUUAUUUAAACAUUUAUGGCUUACAGAUGGGCAUGCGCAUGAUUAGCUAGUUGGAGAGGUAACGGCUCCCCAAGGCAACGAUCAUUAGGGGUUCUGAGAGGAAGGUCCCCCACACUGGUACUGAGACACGGACCAGACUCCUACGGGAGGCAGCAGUGAGGAAUAUUGGUCAAUGGACGAGAGUCUGAACCAGCCAAGUCGCGUGCAGGAAGAAUUGUCCUAUGGAUUGUAAACUGCUUUUGCAGGGGAAUAAAGUGCAUCACGUGUGAUGUUUUGUAUGUACUCUGCGAAUAAGGAUCGGCUAACUCCGUGCCAGCCGCGGC